rnacentral:rRNA from 1 species
CCUACGGGUGGCAGCAGUGAGGAAUAUUGGUCAAUGGGCGGAAGCCUGAACCAGCCAAGUAGCGUGUAGGAUGACGGCCCUACGGGUUGUAAACUGCUUUUAUACGGGAAUAACGCGCCUUACGUGUAGGGCUUUGCAUGUACCGUAUGAAUAAGGACCGGCUAAUUCCGUGCCAUCAGCCGCGGUCAUCAGGAAGGUCCGGGCGUUAUCCGGUUUGAUUGGGUUUAAAGGGAGCGUAGGCCGCAUGUCAAGCGUGCUGUGAAAUGUCCGGGCUCAACCCGGGCCUUGCAGCGCGUACUGGCGUGCUUGAGACCGCGGAAAGCAGGCGGAAUUCGUCGUGUAGCGGUGAAAUGCUUAGAUAUGACGAAGAACCCCGAUUGCGAAGGCAGCUUGCUGCAGCGGAACUGACGCUGAUGCUCGAAAGCGCGGGUAUCGAACAGGAUUAGAUACCCCUGUAGUC